rnacentral:rRNA from 1 species
AGGCAGCAGUGGGGAAUAUUGGACAAUGGGCGAAAGCCUGAUCCAGCCAUGCCGCGUGUGUGAAGAAGGCCUUUUGGUUGUAAAGCACUUUAAGCGGGGAGGAGGGCACCGUGGUUAAUACCCACGAAUGUCGGACGUUACCCGCAGAAUAAGCACCGGCUAACUACGUGCCAGCAGCCGCGGUAAUACGUAGGGUGCAAGCGUUAAUCGGAAUUACUGGGCGUAAAGCGUGCGCAGGCGGCUUUGCAAGACAGAUGUGAAAUCCCCGGGCUCAACCUGGGAACUGCAUUUGUGACUGCAUGGCUAGAGUACGGUAGAGGGGGAUGGAAUUCCGCGUGUAGCAGUGAAAUGCGUAGAUAUGCGGAGGAACACCGAUGGCGAAGGCAAUCCCCUGGACCUGUACUGACGCUCAUGCACGAAAGCGUGGGGAGCAAACAGGAUUAGAUACCCUGGUAGUCCACGCCCUAAACGAUGUCAACUGGUUGUUGGACGGCUUGCUGUUCAGUAACGAAGCUAACGCGUGAAGUUGACCGCCUGGGGAGUACGGCCGCAAGGUUGAAACUCAAAAGAAUUGACGG